rnacentral:rRNA from 1 species
UACGUAGGUUGCAAGCGUUGUCCGGAUUUAUUGGGUUUAAAGGGUGCGUAGGCGGUUCUGUAAGUCAGUGGUGAAAUACAAUAGCUUAACUAUUGAGGUGCCAUUGAUACUGCGGAACUUGAGUACAGACGAGGUAGGCGGAAUUGACGGUGUAGCGGUGAAAUGCUUAGAUAUCGUCAAGAACACCGAUAGCGAAGGCAGCUUACUAGACUGUAACUGACGCUGAGGCACGAAAGUGUGGGGAUCAAACAGG